CAGGCACAUUGAAAUUUAGAACAUUUGUUACUUACAUAGACAGCAAAAGGAAGAGUAGCCAAAGGUGCCAGCAACCUGGCCCUUGUCCUACACACCAAAAUGGAUGACACCAAACCAAAAAGGCCAGGUGAGUACCAUACACGUUGCUGGCUCUUGCAUGGCCUGUGUGGUUACUUGUAAAGUCACCUACAAAUAUAGGUAAAGCAGCAUGUCCUUUGAUAAAAAUUGCAUUACUGAAUUUUCCCUUUAGUGCAGUGGCUUCCUGUGGGGAGUAUAUAAUGGGCAGAAAAAUGAAUGGGAGAUUUUCCUUUAUACUUUAUACAAUUAAGUACCAGUGUGUGUGUGUGUGUGUGUGUGUGUGUGUGUAUGUGAUGGUUUUACAACAUGCAUAAAUUGUGCUAUAAUUUAUAAAAGCCCUUUAAAAAUUAGAUUAGGCAUCAAAUUUAUGUCUUCAUAGCAACCACAGUAUUAUGAGGUAAGAAGGUCAAAUAGAUUGAGAUGUUUCUCCAAAUAAAGGAAUGAUUGCUGUUGACCUCAUAAUAGGGGAGACACACUUAAAUGCCAUUUAGAAAAGCAAACUGAUUAAGGUGUUGCAGUGUUGGCCCCACCAAUAGAUUCAUGAUGGCAGAGUGUUCCUGGGACAGAAAGUUACAGCAAAAGAGAGUUCGUGCCCGUACGCAUUGUCUGACGACUUUUGGGUUAAACAAACAGACAACAUCAACAAUUCCUUGUGCUGCUGAAUUAUUAUUACUACAGCAAGCAAAAUUUUCUUCCCUUUAUCUUGAUGGAGAAGACAGAAAAGUUGAGUUUGAGUUUGAAAAGUAGCUGAAGAGAAACAUCCAACGUUUUUGGCUCCAGCUGUCAAAAAAUAGGAAGUAAAAAAAUAAAAAAUAAAAAAAGGAAGUAAAUUAAGCCUGU
rnacentral:lncRNA from 12 species